CAAUAGCGUAUAUUAAAGUUGUUGCGGUAAAAAAGCUCGUAGUUGGAUUUCUGUUGAGAGCGACCGGUCCAUACCAUGUAUGCGUAUCUGGCUUGCUCUCGGCAUCCUCUCGAUAGACGUUACUGCGCUUGAUUGCGUGGUGCGGAUCUCGGGACUUUUACUUUGAGGAAAUUAGAGUGUUCACGGCAGGCUUUCGCCAGAAUACAUUAGCAUGGAAUAAUACUAUAGGAUCUUGGUUCUAUUUUGUUGGUUUCUAGAGUUGAGAUAAUGAUUAAUAGGGACAAUUGGGGGCAUUCGUAUCAACACGUCAGAGGUGGAAUUCUUGGAUUGUGUUGCGACGAACUACUGCGAAAGCAUUUGCCAAGGAUGUUUUCAUUGA
rnacentral:rRNA from 1 species